rnacentral:rRNA from 1 species
AGUCCGAUAGCAAACAAGUACCGUGAGGGAAAAUUGAAAAGAACUUUGAAGAGAGAGUUCAAGAGUACGUGAAACCGUCUAGCGGUAAAGAGAGGGGUUCUCGAAGUUUCUGAGGGGGACUCAACCUUGGUGGUGCUUGGCCUGGGCGUAUUUGAUCAGCAAUGACUUUGCGUUUAGUCCCAUGUGCCUCCCGGACGCACUUUCUCCUCAGUUUACGGCAGGAACCGUUAGAUGUGGACUGAAGGCCCAGGGUGAAGUUGUUGGUUAUGCUGGCAGCCCUUGGUGUCCUAGCUUCGCGUCUGACGGGUAUGUAAGUGAACUCGUAUAGCGAGCAAUUCUCUAUUGCGGUUCGCAUUUCUCUGCCGAGUAGGUCGGUGGCCCCUCUCACCCGUCUUGAAACACGGAC